rnacentral:rRNA from 1 species
UACGGAAUGUGCAAACGUUAUUCGGAAUCACUGGGCUUAAAGAGUCCGUAGGCGGCAUGUUAGGUGAGGUGUGAAAUCCCACGGCUCAACCGUGGAAUUGCGCUUCAUACCGGCGUGCUAGAGGAAGAUAGAGGUGGGCGGAACUGAUGGUGGAGCGGUGAAAUGCGUUGAUAUCCUAAGGAACACCGGUGGCGAAGGCGGCUUACUGGGUCUCUACUGACGCUGAUGCACGAAAGCCAGGGUAGCGAACGGG